rnacentral:rRNA from 1 species
CGUCACGGCGCUCAGCGUGAUCAGCCUGCCGCGUGCUUCAGGAGGCCUUCGAGUUCAGACAUUGUUAUUACUGCACGAAAAAUCCCCGACCAAUACAGGGGGCCCAUGGCGGUACCGCUGGAAUAAGCACCGGCUAACUACGUGCCAGCAGCCGCGGUAAU